GUGGGGAAUUUUGGACAAUGGGGGCAACCCUGAUCCAGCCAUGCCGCGUGCGGGAAGAAGGCCUUCGGGUUGUAAACCGCUUUUGUCAGGGAAGAAAUCCUUUGGGUUAAUACCUCGGAGGGAUGACGGUACCUGAAGAAUAAGCACCGGCUAACUACGUGCCAGCAGCCGCGGUAAUACGUAGGGUGCAAGCGUUAAUCGGAAUUACUGGGCGUAAAGCGUGCGCAGGCGGUUAUAUAAGACAGAUGUGAAAUCCCCGGGCUCAACCUGGGAACUGCAUAUGUGACUGUAUAGCUAGAGUACGGUAGAGGGGGAUGGAAUUCCGCGUGUAGCAGUGAAAUGCGUAGAUAUGCGGAGGAACACCGAUGGCGAAGGCAAUCCCCUGGACCUGUACUGACGCUCAUGCACGAAAGCGUGGGGAGCAAACAGGAUUAGAAACCCGUGUAGUC
rnacentral:rRNA from 1 species